rnacentral:rRNA from 1 species
GGGGGCCUACGGGGCGCAGCAGUGAGGAAUAUUGGUCAAUGGGCGGAAGCCUGAACCAGCCACGUCGCGUGAGGGAAUAAGGCCCUACGGGUCGUAAACCUCUUUUGCCGGGGAGCAAGGGCCGGGACGCGUCCCGGCCCGGAGAGUACCCGGAGAAAAAGCAUCGGCUAACUCCGUGCCAGCAGCCGCGGUAAUACGGAGGAGGCGGGCGUUAUCCGGAUUUAUUGGGUUUAAAGGGUGCGUAGGCGGGCUUUUAAGUCCGCGGAAAAAAUUCGGGGCUCAAGCCCGUCCGGCCGUUGAAACUG